rnacentral:rRNA from 1 species
AGCGAACGCUGGCGGCAGGCUUAACACAUGCAAGUCGAGCGGGCCUUUCGGGGUCAGCGGCGGACGGGUGAGUAACGCGUGGGAACGUGCCCUCUGGUUCGGAAUAACUCAGGGAAACUUGAGCUAAUACCGGAUACGCCCUUUUGGGGAAAGGCUUGCUGCCGGAGGAUCGGCCCGCGUCUGAUUAGCUAGUUGGUUAGGUAACGGCUCACCAAGGCGACGAUCAGUAGCUGGUCUGAGAGGAUGAUCAGCCACACUGGGACUGAGACACGGCCCAGACUCCUACGGGAGGCAGCAGUGGGGAAUAUUGGACAAUGGGCGCAAGCCUGAUCCAGCCAUGCCGCGUGAGUGAUGAAGGCCUUAGGGUUGUAAAGCUCUUUUAUCCGGGACGAUAAUGACGGUACCGGAGGAAUAAGCCCCGGCUAACUUCGUG